CAGUAGCCGCGGUAAUACGGAGGAUCCAAGCGUUAUCCGGAAUCAUUGGGUUUAAAGGGUCCGUAGGCGGUCUUGUAAGUCAGUGGUGAAAGCCCAUCGCUCAACGGUGGAACGGUUAUUGAUACUGCAGGACUUGAAUUAUUGGGAAGUAACUAGAAUAUGUAGUGUAGCGGUGAAAUGCUUAGAGAUUACAUGGAAUACCAAUUGCGAAGGCAGGUUACUACCAAUUGAUUGACGCUGAUGGACGAAAGCGUGGGUAGCGAACAGGAUUAGAUACCCCCGUAGUCCCUGUCUCUUAUAC
rnacentral:rRNA from 1 species